GAUGAACGCUGGCGGCGUGCCUAAUACAUGCCAGUCGAGCGAACAGACGAGGAGCUUGCUCCUCUGCCGUUAGCGGCGGACGGGUGAGUAACACGUGGAUACCCUACCUAUAAGGCUGGGAUAACUUCGGGAAACCGGAGCUAAUACCGGAUAAUAUAUUGAACCGCAUGGUUCAUUAGAGAAAGACGGUUUUGCUGUCACUUAUAGAUGGAUCCGCGCCGCAUUAGCUAGUUGGUAAGGUAACGGCUUACCAAGGCGACGAUGCGUAGCCGACCUGAGAGGGUGAUCAGCCACACUGGAACUGAGACACGGUCCAGACUCCUACGGGAGGCAGCAGUAGGGAAUCUUCCGCAAUGGGCGAAAGCCUGACGGAGCAACGCCGCGUGAGUGAUGAAGGUCUUCGGAUCGUAAAACUCUGUUAGUAGGGAAGAACAAAUGUGUAAUUAACUAUGCACGUCUUGACGGUACCUAAACAGAAAGCAACGGCUAACUACGUG
rnacentral:rRNA from 1 species